AUAUAUUUUGUAAAAAAUCACAGUCCUGACAAUACUCCAUGGCAUUGUUGUGUGGGUGUCCUCCAAAUAAUUGCCACGACAGAAGAGACCGUGUCUUAGCUGUGUUCUCUUGAUGGCUGGGCUUGACUUCAGGAUCAACCUUCCUAUGUGUGGAGAAGGUUACAUCUCAUGAAUACCUCUGAAGUAGGACUCAGCUCCCAUUAGAGCUCUCCUCUGCAGCAAGGGUGCAGGCACAUGACCUCGGUCCCCUUGACCCGGAGGACUGAACUGAAGGCUUCUCUUUGGAACUGAGCAGUUGGGGAUGCCAAGCAUCACAUGGUUCUUCCUGGCGUGGCUGGUGGCAACAGCAAUUUCCUCUAGAAUUUCUUGGGGUAGCAACAAUGGCAAUAUUUUUUCUUUUCGUGUCUGCUCUGUGGUGUGUCUGACUUAGAUUGCUGACGGUUUUCUGAUCGGGCUGCGUCCAUUUAGAGCGUGGAUACAGUUUAUUACAAGCAGGCGAAGAACCAGUGGUCCACAAGAAGAACGGGAGUGUUUUUGCACGGACACAAGUUAUUGUGUUGCAGACCCAACAAUCCCAGUUUUCCACUAACAUCUUCGUUCUGGCCCAGAACCGCCCCGCCGUCUCACCUUGUCUCCUGGGCUCCUCCAGGCUGUGCCCUUUCCUCACACUUCCUGGUCUCCCGUGACCUUGACGCUGGGAGAUUACCGGGGUGUCCCACAGUGACUGUCCGUGAACGGGCUGGCUGGGAUGUUCGAGUUCUCCUUCAGGAACCCAGACCACGCCCAUCCUAAGUGCCCCGCAAACGGCCCGGAUUCGUUCCUCGUGAGUCUGCGUGAGAACCUGCGGUUUACAGGUCCGUGACGUCACCCAGAGGGGCCGGGGGCUCCCGUGUGGUGAGUGGGAACAGAGCAGGACUGCUCCAGGGUGAUGUUAACAGAGGGCCGGAGCGGACGGUCUUCAGAGGCUAGAAACAGUCUGUCCGGUCCCUGCUGCGGUGGGGACACGCGGACACCUAGAGCAAGGGAGCAGGCGGGGGCCGGUGCAGGGCGCUGGCCGUGAGGACGGAUCUCGGGGCAUUCUGGCAGAACAGACCUGACCGGAUCGCUGCUGCAGGCCUCCCGGGUGAUCCCCACGCCCCGUGGGUGACAGGAGGGAAUUGGCCGGGUACCCGGUGACUAGACACUGGGCAGAAGUGACUUAGCAGGGGUCUGGCCAAAACAGAGCCUCUGAGCUGAACUCAGAAGCCCAGAGGUCAAGGCCUAGUUGGAAGAAAGGCUCAGAGAGGCGGGAGGGAGUCCUUGGUGCCACGAGGAAGGGUCAGAGUCAGCCCUCCCCCUGGAAGGGAAGGAGCCUCCCGGGAGUGUGCAGAGCGCAGGCUGGGCUGUGCCUCCGGGUGGAACAGGCCCGUCCGGAUCCUUCCUGCUGCAGAGCUGGGGCGUCCGGUGGGAGAGGCCAGGGCAAGGGAGGGGGCCUGGGAGAGGGACCCCGGGAGCUGGUGGGGCCGCGGGAAGGCAGAGAUGAAUCUGAGGGACGCCAGGGGUGGGGGCACCUGUGGGCUUCCGAGCUGCGCCUUCCAGAGUUGGAGGCUGGGAAGCCCUACUGGGUCGCUUCCUGCGAAACGCUCAUCCCAGAGCCUGGGACAUGAGCUGCUUCAGAAGUAGGGUCUGUGCAGAUGCAGUUAGUUAAGAUGGAGUCAUAUCGGAAUGGGUGAGCCUAAUCCAACGACCGGUGUCCUUAUGAGGAGAGACACAGAAUCAGAAGACAGCCACGUGACCACAGAGGCCGAAGCUGGAGGGAUGUGGCCACAAGCCCAGGGGCAUCUGGAGUCCCAGAACCCAAAGGAGGCGGGAAGGACCCUGUUCUGGGGCCUUGGCCCUGAGUCAUUGAUCCGACUUCUGGCCUCCAGAACGGGGGAGAGUAAAGCCUCUGUCUUAAGCCCCCA